rnacentral:lncRNA from 1 species
UAUAGUUGAUUUAGUCAAACUGAAGUUAUUCAAUCAUCAUAGACGAAGGAAUUUAGCUAAAAACAUCUAUAUGGUCGGAGUAUGAAGCUCAUACUGUACAUAUUAUUGAUGUUAUAGACGUCCAACAUCUCCAAACCUGUCUAAACAGCAUCAACAUUCUCUGAAUUAAGAAAAUCUGGAUUUUAAUUUUUAAAAUUGUCGUCAUACAAUGAUUGAAUCAUCAUGGACAAAGGAAUUAUGCCUCACCUAUUUUUUAGUCGGAGUAUGAAGCUUUACACUACAUAUUUAGUGAUGACGUUGAUCAUCUCUUUACUUUUCCUUAACAAUAUAGUUAAUAUUAGUUCAAUCUGCAUGGACGAACUUCACCUAUCCGCAUGGUGAGAGUAAAAAUCUAAUAUUCAACAAAUUUAGUGAUAUGAUGGACGUGGAACAUGUUUUUGACUUGUGUUAAUAGCAUUAGAAUUCUUUGAAUGAUGAUAAUUUUUUGUUUAACUUGACAAUCGAAUUUCAUUAAGCAGUUGAAACAUUUUAGACGUAGGGAUUAAGCUUCAACUAUUUACGUGGUCGGAAUAAGAAUCUCCUAUUCUACAUAUAUAUUGAUAUUAUGGACUUCGAUUAUCCCCAGACUUGUGGAAACAACAUCAGCAUUAUCUGAAUGAAGAUAAUUUUCUACGUUACAAUACUCAAUCCGUGAAUUCUUCCGAUAUUUAGGAUAUUUCUUUCAUUUUUAAAUUUGAUUUCAAUGAUUUCCUGUAACAGCGAUGGUCGCAUUUGAGAAAAAUGAAAUAUCGAUAAAUUCAAUAUUGAAAUUAUAAGCUCAACGCAAUCUUGGAUUGUAUAGAAGACAUGAGAACGACAUCAGGUGUCUAAUCGUCGAUGAUUCUGCGUAUUGCAGUUCACCAUGUCCCCUUACAAAUAUAAAUGUUUUUCUCUCGUCGUAAUUAAGUUAAUUUAUCAUGGAGGAAUGUAUUUAGAUUCACCUGUCUACAUGACGGGAGUUAAAAUAUCAUACUCUAUAUAUUUAGUGGUAUUUUGGAUAGCGAUAAUCUCAAGGCCUGUCAAAAUUGCAUCAGGACUCUCUGAAUGAUGACAAUUUUCGUCCUAUUGGAUUAACUCAAUCAUGAAGGGCGUAGGGAUUAAGCAUGGCCUAUCUAUAUGGCUGUAGAUGGAAUCUUACAUUCCAAAUAUUGAUAUAAUUGACAUAAUUUCCAGAUCUGUAUAAACUACAUAAGCAUUCUCUGAAUGAUAAGAAUUUUUGCCGCUAUAGUUGAUUUUGCUGUUACAAGUUACAAUCAUCAUGGAUGUCGAUCAUCCUCAGACCAGAAAAAUUGAAAUUAAUAUUCCAAAUGUCAUAUAAUCUUCAAAUUAUAAGCCUAUCACAUCCAUGGGAAGAUUUUCCUUGUUACAGUUCACAAUGUGGGCAUUCUAAAUCCAUGAGUAUCUUUAAUGUUUCCCUACUUAAAGAUAAUAUCUUACAAUUAUUUAUUAUAUCCAACCCCUUCGUUUCCACUCCACUCAUUCCCUCAAGAUGAAUCCUCAAAAGGUGUCUGGCUAAGAGCAAUUCCACGGCAAUCCAAAGGAGCUUAGACACCUUCUAAGUAUUCAAUAGUGUGUUAACUCCAUUUUGAGGAGGAAGAUUUCAUGAUCAAGAGUUCUGACAAACGGAGAGAGUUUCGGAAAUACAAGUUACAAGAGAACCAACUUCACAAACGUUAUUUGAAGCUUUCAGCUGUUUCGUAUGUAUUACCAAAUCUUCCGAAAUAAGUUUAAAAUAUCAACGUCCAAAGCCACUUCAUCUGCUAGGAUAUCAAAUGAAAAUGCAGCUACUAUUCAAGCAGAGGAAGCUUUUUCCCAAAAGGAUACAUAUGGACUUAAGUGAUUUAUGUAUUAAAAUUCAUAAUGAAACACUUCGAAGUAAUGUGCAUUUCAUUUGGACAUAAGACUUUAUUGAGAUCGAUUUUACUGCUAAUGUUAAAGUGAAAUGUAUUUCGUCCUGUAUCUCAAGAAUGACAAAGUAUGUUCCAAGCUUGUCCGAUACAUCAAAAAAAGGAGAUAAUUACCUUGAUAAUCAACCUUCAAAAUAUUCUUGCACAUAUUUAAAUUAUUCGUUCUCCUCCUACUCAAGACAGCAUUAAGCACAUUCUCAAUGGCUUAGAUAAUCUUAUAAAAAAUACAUCGUCCAAGCUUAAAUUUUAUCUGCGGAAAAAGCUAAUCUUUAUUAGUGAGCAACUUGCCUUUGUGAACUCUCCUCAUAAACAAAGGUGCUACUCACCGAGAUUAUUAGCAAUAUCUCUUUUAUGGCACAACACAAGUCCUGCAUUGUAUCGUCAAAUGUCAGCGUAUAGUAUGACUACCUUCUUCGAGUAAUCUUAAAAAAUUAUCUUCGACAUUCACAAUGAAUGAUGGAUUUUCCUCCUAAACCACCGAUUAUCUUUCCACAAGACUUAAGUUACUGACAAAAAGUCGAAAGAGUGUUGUGAUUUUGGUAGACGAAGUUUAUUUUCCCUAAAAAGUAGAGUAUUUCAGAGCAAAGAUAUUUGGCAGGAAGGGGGUCAUGUUACAAAGACUUUACUUGUGUUUAUGACCAAUUCGACUUGCUCAAAAUAUCAAGACACGGUUGCAAUGUACCCAAUUCUAAAUCUUAACUACGUGCACACUUCAUGAGUUACUUUUACAAAUCAACGCUGAACUCUUCAAACUUGGAUUUGAAAUAACAUCAAUCUCUAUGGAAAAUGUCACCCCUAACAGAAAAUGUUACUUGUGAAAGAUAAUUGAAAUCUAGUAUCGCAAAUCCUGCUACUCCAAACCAACAUAUUUUUCUUCUUUUCGACAGCACACACAACAUUUAGAACAUUAAUGAUUGUUUUCAAAGGAGAAAAGUCUUCAAGUGCACAAAUUUCAAGGACACGUACCUUUCUGCCCCAAACUUCGAACAUAUUUUUCAGCUUUAUGAGAUGGAGAAACACAAGCCCAUAAACUGACUUCUAAA